ACGCUGGCGGCAGGCCUAACACAUGCAAGUCGAGCGGAAACGACACCAUCGAUUCUUCGGAUGCGUUAAUGGGCGUCGAGCGGCGGACGGGUGAGUAAUGCCUAGGAAAUUGCCUUGAUGUGGGGGAUAACCAUUGGAAACGAUGGCUAAUACCGCAUAAUGCCUACGGGCCAAAGAGGGGGAUCUUCGGACCUCUCGCGUCAAGAUAUGCCUAGGUGGGAUUAGCUAGUUGGUGAGGUAAUGGCUCACCAAGGCGACGAUCCCUAGCUGGUCUGAGAGGAUGAUCAGCCACACUGGAACUGAGACACGGUCCAGACUCCUACGGGAGGCAGCAGUGGGGAAUAUUGCACAAUGGGCGAAAGCCUGAUGCAGCCAUGCCGCGUGUAUGAAGAAGGCCUUCGGGUUGUAAAGUACUUUCAGUUGUGAGGAAGGGGGURWMGUUAAUAGCKKYRYMUCUUGACGUUAGCAACAGAAGAAGCACCGGCUAACUCCGUGCCAGCAGCCGCGGUAAUACGGAGGGUGCGAGCGUUAAUCGGAAUUACUGGGCGUAAAGCGCAUGCAGGUGGUUCAUUAAGUCAGAUGUGAAAGCCCGGGGCUCAACCUCGGAACUGCAUUUGAAACUGGUGAACUAGAGUGCUGUAGAGGGGGGUAGAAUUUCAGGUGUAGCGGUGAAAUGCGUAGAGAUCUGAAGGAAUACCAGUGGCGAAGGCGGCCCCCUGGACA
rnacentral:rRNA from 1 species